CCUACGUGUGGCAGCAGUGGGGAAUAUUGCACAAUGGGGGAAACCCUGAUGCAGCGACGCCGCGUGAGUGAUGAAGUAUUUCGGUAUGUAAAGCUCUAUCAGCAGGGAAGAAAUAGCCACCUUUGGGUCGAUAGACGGUACCUGACUCAGAACCCCCGGCUAACUACGUUCCAGCAGUCGCGGUAAUACGUAGGGUGCCAGCGUUAUCCGGAUUUACUGGGUGUAAAUGGAGCGUAGACGGCAACACAAGUCAGAUGUGAAAUGCCGUGGCUUAACCACGGAACUGCAUUGGAAACUGUGAAGCUAGAGUGCAGGAGAGGUAAGUGGAAUUCCUAGUGUAGGGGUGAAAUGCGUAGAUAUUAAGAGGAACACUAGUGGCGAAGGCGACUUACUGGACUGUAACUGACGUUGAGGCUCGAAAGCGUGGGGAGCAAACAGGAUUAGAGACCCGUGUAGUC
rnacentral:rRNA from 1 species